rnacentral:lncRNA from 1 species
AGCCCUCGAACUAGGAUACCCUCGACACUACAAGAAAAAGACUUUUUAAGAACCAGUAAGGACGAGAAUACUACUGGUCCUUAAAUCUCUAUAUUUUUAAUUAAAAUAUUAAAUAAAAAUAAUUUUUUUUAUAAUGUACUGUCCAAUUAUAAAAAUUUACCGGGAGAAAGUGGUGCCAUACCAAAAUUGGAAUAAAACAUAAUAAAAUUUACAUAAAAAACUCUAACUUUUAUCAAACCUAAAUCUACCGUCAAGUCUCAUUUCCCUUCCUCCUCAUAGAGGUAAAAACCCUAAAUCCCUUAAACUUCCAUACUUCUCUCAAAGGCAUUUUCUUGGUAUGUUAAGAAACAUUUUUCUUGGUAUCUUAAGGAACAUUUUUCUUUUAUUUGUCUUACGAUAGAUUUGCUACUCCCAUAUUUUGCAGGUUUGGGGAAAAUAUCAAAUUGAAAAACUGCUAUCCAUCUCACCACAAGUAAGCACACUUUCUUUUUCUAUGUAUCUUUUGGGUUAACCUUUGUUUAUUAUUUUUCAACAACCCAUAUUUGCAGGUUUGUGAAAUCUUCAUUUUUUUUAAUUUUUUUUGUUGGUAGAAAUUGAUUGCUAGUCAGCAAAUAUUUUUACAAUCAAUUUCUUUUCUAGAUUAUAUUUGGGUGUCCCUUUGUGAAUUGUUUGUAAAAGCCUAUGCGUUGUUUGGUUUUUUUCCUUUUGUUCUUCCUCUGCUUCUCUGUUCUUAUAUUUGAAACUUUACCUGUCUCUCUUCUGCUUUGACUGUGAUUGCAUUUUGGUGUUGUUGGGUUUCAAUCGGUUACUGGGUUAUUCUACUGAUCAUUUACUGGAUUCUGCUGGUUUUGCCGUGUUGCUGAACUUGUUGUUGCUGUGUAUUUACACUACUGCUGCUUCUACUGAUCUUCAUCUUUUUUCCUUGCUUUCCAAAUACCAGGUACACAAACUGAUACACUGGUACAUCUUGUAAGCUACUCGAAGCAUGAAUGCAAAAAUGGGAAAGAUUUGAAGCUGUAGUUUAAUGUAGUCUUUUCUUUCUUUUACUGUCUGUACUUAGAACAUUCUAUGCGUUGCCCAUGUAAACUCUGGUUAUAUACUGAAUCUCGGUUGUAUAUAUGUUAGCUAGUUGCCUUCACUAGAAUCAGGUAGUUGUUGGUUNNNNN